rnacentral:rRNA from 1 species
AUUGAACGCUGGCGGCAUGCUUUACACAUGCAAGUCGAACGGCAGCACGGACUUCGGUCUGGUGGCGAGUGGCGAACGGGUGAGUAAUACAUCGGAACGUACCCAGUAAUGGGGGAUAACUAUCCGAAAGGAUAGCUAAUACCGCAUACGCCCUACGGGGGAAAGAGGGGGAUCGCAAGACCUCUUGUUAUUGGAGCGGCCGAUGGCUGAUUAGCUAGUUGGUAGGGUAAAGGCCUACCAAGGCAACGAUCAGUAGCGGGUCUUAGAGGACGAUCCGCCACACUGGAACUGGGACACGGUCCAGACUCCUACGGGAGGCAGCAGUGGGGAAUCUUGGACAAUGGGCGCAAGCCUGAUCCAGCAAUGCCGCGUGCGUGAAGAAGGCCUUCGGGUUGUAAAGCGCUUUUGUCAGGGAGCAAAUCCUUGUGGCUAAUACCCACCGGGGAUGAGAGCACCUGAAGAAUAAGGACCGGCUAACUACGUGCCAGCAGCCGCCGUAACAC